GUGACACCUGCACUGUUAGCUUCACAUCUGUGGGCUUACUGCUUUACAGCAAUGAGGAAAAAUGAGGGAGGUGUGACACCUGGGCUCACGCGAACGAAAGCAGGAAGAAGAGGGAGCAGUGUGUCUGUUUGCAGGCAGAACUGACACAACAAUAAUUUCACCAUCUCACAAUGUUCAGGCAGAACCAGAACUGUGGGGAAGAAAAAAAAAAAAGUUUUUCAACUGAGUGUCCCCCAGCCAUAGCUGAUGGAAGUCCUCCCCUUCAGAAGAGCAUCCUUCCCCAGAAAGACAGGACUGAGUAUCCCGACAUCUUGAUGCUGCUGUUUUCCUCACUGUUUGUUAACGGGCUACCAUAAGUAGCUCUCCAGAGCUUGAAGACUUCAGCAAAUUUCAGUCUUGAGAUGUCUAUCUCUGUAUACGGAAUAACGGGAGACAGCCAAAUAGAAGACUUAUUAGGUGUCAUGACAUCUAUGUUCCAAUCACCUUGUGCAUUUGACUGGAUGCAUUACGAUUAAAAUAAUUUAAGGAGCACAGCCAUUCAGCACUUUUGGGGGCAUUAUUUUACUUCCCAGCGUUACAAGGAUAAAAAAAAAAAUUAUCCCAUCUGAAACAAUCCUCUAGAGGCAGUUCCUUUGCAUAUACUUACUGAAGAGAAUCUUCUCUGUUAUGAAUUACUACAACUUCCAUAGUUCUUUCAGUACCGUACUCACAGUCUGACGGCCUAGAAGCCCACAAAGGUAGAAGAAAUACUUCUUUUGCAUUGGUGAUUUGAAGCUUUUUAAAAUGAAGUUAAAAGAUACUUCCAAUGUUUGCACUUAACUUCUUAACAGCAUAAGAAGGAGAAUUAAAAAAAAGUGUAACUCACACUUCAACUGUUUACAGAACUUUGGGUUAUCUUGAAAUUGAAGAUUGUUAAACAUCUUGUUUCCACUACUGUAUGUUUUACUGAAAUAAAAGAUUAUCUGCUGAACAAAAUUACUUCUUUUCCAAGUUGCUUAGCUAUAUUUUGGGUUGUGGGGUUAAAAACAGCUCAGUGAAAUCCUGCCACGUCGAUUGCCUUUAACUGGAGCAAUUAGAACUCGAUUUAAUAGAAUUUGUGUCCUCUGAGGGUCCAAGCCUUUUCAAUGACUGUAACUACUUCUGAUGAGAUACACAAGGAUGUCUG
rnacentral:lncRNA from 1 species